rnacentral:rRNA from 1 species
UCCUACGGGAGGCAGCAGAAGGGGAAUUUUGGACAAUGGGCGCAAGCCUGAUCCAGCAAUGCCGCGUGCAGGAUGAAGGCCUUCGGGUUGUAAACUGCUUUUGUACGGAACGAAAAGCCCUGGGUUAAUACCCUGGGGUCAUGACGGUACCGUAAGAAUAAGCACCGGCUAACUACGUGCCAGCAGCCGCGGUAAUACGUAGGGUGCGAGCGUUAAUCGGAAUUACUGGGCGUAAAGCGUGCGCAGGCGGUUUUGUAAGACAGAGGUGAAAUCCCCGGGCUCAACCUGGGAACUGCCUUUGUGACUGCAAGGCUAGAGUACGGCAGAGGGGGAUGGAAUUCCGCGUGUAGCAGUGAAAUGCGUAGAUAUGCGGAGGAACACCGAUGGCGAAUGCAAUCCCCUGGGCCUGUACUGACGCUAAUGCACGAAAGCGUGGGGAGCAAACAGGAUUAGAUACCCUGGUAGUCCACGCCCUAAACGAUGUCAACUGGUUGUUGGGUCUUAACUGACUCAGUAACGAAGCUAACGCGUGAAGUUGACCGCCUGGGGAGUACGGCCGCAAGGUUGAAACUCAAAUGAAUUGACGGA